UUAUGUGGUUGGGUGGGUGCAACGCUCGCGGGUGGGCGCGGACAGUAGGUGCGUAAUUAAGUGGUGUGGGGUACAGGUCCAAGUGGUAGGUGUGGUAGUGUGGGGGAGGGUUGAUGGUCGGAAAUCCCCGACCAAUGAACAGCAGAAAAGCAAGCUUUUCGAAGCCAGGUUCUGGGCAAAGGCCUUCGUUUUGAGUGUGUGCGGUGAGAAGUGUGAAAAACGCUUCGGCGAUGGCUUUAAAAACGGUUUGGUCAUGAGAAGCUGAAGCCGUGAGUUAAGAGGUCAGCUUUGACGCGGUAAUUACUGUGAUACUGUUGUAAAAGCGGCAAGAAGCUGCCCGUCUUCGAAGCAUCUUCGCGGGUGUCGCCUGUCCGGCAUUCGUUGGAAGUCAAGCCUGCCGGCCUCAGCAUGUCGUCGACGCGCCCGCUGCUGCUGGCGUCCGCCCUGCUGCUGGCCUCGCUCCGUACGGCGUUGGCACUGCAGAGUCCGCCGCUCAUCACCAAGCAGCCGCCGCCCACCGAGCAGCUGUUCCAGGUGGCGGAGCGCAAGGACGAGAACGACCGGCCCUUCAUCAUUGAGUGCGAGGCCAAGGGAGAGCCCAU